rnacentral:rRNA from 1 species
UACGUAGGGGCCGAGCGUUGUCCGGAGUUAUUGGGCGUAAAGCGCGCGCAGGCGGCCUCGCGCGCCCGACGUGAAAGCCCCCGGCUUAACCGGGGAGGGUCGUUGGGGACGGCGGGGCUUGAGGGCGGGAGAGGGUGGUGGAAUUCCCGGUGUAGUGGUGAAAUGCGUAGAGAUCGGAAAGAACACCAACGGCGAAAGCACUCUGCUGGGCCGACACUGACACUGAGAGACGAAAGCUAGGGGAGCGAAUGGG